rnacentral:rRNA from 1 species
UACGUAGGGUGCAAGCGUUGUCCGGAAUUAUUGGGCGUAAAGAGCUCGUAGGCGGCUAGUCGCGUCGGCUGUGAAAACCUGGGGCUCAACCCCCGGGCCUGCAGACGAUACGGGCUAGCUAGAAUUCGGUAGGGGAGACUGGAAUUCCUGGUGUAGCGGUGAAAUGCGCAGAUAUCAGGAGGAACACCGGUGGCGAAGGCGGCGAUCUGGGUAGAUACUGACGCUGAGGUGCGAAAGCGUGGGGAGCAAACAGG